AUUGAACGCUGGCGGCAGGCUUAACACAUGCAAGUCGAGCGAGCGGCGGACGGGUGAGUAAUGUCUGGGAAACUGCCUGAUGGAGGGGGAUAACUACUGGAAACGGUAGCUAAUACCGCAUACCAUCAGAUGUGCCCAGUUGGGAUUAGCUAGUAGGUGGGGUAAUGGCUCACCUAGGCGCCGAUCCCCAGCUGGUCUGCGAGGAUGACCAGACACACUGGAACUGAGACACGGUCCAGACUCCUACGGGAGGCAGCAGGGGGGAAGAUUGCACAAUGGGCGAAAGCCUGAAGCAGCCAUGCCGCGUGAGUGAAGAAGGCCUUCGGGGUGUAAAGCACUUUCAGCGAGGAGGCGUUACUCGCAGAAGAAGCACCGGCUAACUCCGUGUCAGCAGCCGCGGUAAUUC
rnacentral:rRNA from 1 species